GCAGGGAUGGUGUAGUUGGUCAUCACGACUGUCUAACAAUGUUCAUAUAUUGUUCAGCUCACAGUAGGUCCCGGGUUCAAACCCCGGUCCCUGUA
rfam:Baudoinia panamericana TAMH 10762 unplaced genomic scaffold BATCOscaffold_14, whole genome shotgun sequence.